rnacentral:rRNA from 1 species
CUGCAGCCCGAGUGGUGAUCGAUUCUAUUGAGCCUAAAGCGUCCGUAGCCGGACUAGUAAACCCUUGGGUAAAUUGGGCAGCUUAACUGUCCAAAUUCCGAGGGGACUGCUAGUCUUGGGACCGGGAGAGGUCAGAGGUACUCAAGGGGUAGGGGCUAAAUCCUGUAAUCCUUUGGGGACCACCAGUGGCGAAGGCGUCUGACUAGAACGGAUCCGACGGUAAGGGACGAAACCCUGGGGCGCGAACCGGAUUAGAUACCCGAGUAGUCC